rnacentral:rRNA from 1 species
CGUCGUGUCCAGGCCAACAUCGGUUUCGAGGGUCGGUCAAAGGCUCCGGGAAUGUAUCUACCCACGGGUAGACUUAUAGACCGGGGUGUCAUGCGACCUCUCGGGACCGAGGAACGCGCUUCGGCUCGGAUGUUGGCGUAAUGGUUGUCAGCGA